CCUGGGUUUUGAAGCGGGUGCUGCUCCUGCUGAGCCAACUCGGGGCACAGGUUAUUACCUGCAGCCAAGAGCAAAAAUCUAAGCAGGGCUCGGGCGCACGUGGCUGUUCCCAGAACCGCCGCGCAGAGCUGCUUUCAUAUAAAAAAAAAGAACUCAACCAAAAAACAACCGAGGGUGAUCCUCUCCGAAGAAAACAAGUCUCUGUGGUCGGGCAGUGAUGCUAUCGUCUGGCUGCAAGUGGUCCAUGUCGAUGGAAGAUCUGCAGGUCCCACUUGUCCCCUCUGCUGCCAGCCCCCUGGACACCGAGCUCAGUGGGAGGACACAGGGAUGGGGACAGGGUGUUCUGCCCCCCAGGACCGCAGUGUGGGAGCACCCGGUGGAGCUCAGGCUGGACCCUGCUCCGACACUCCCGGCUCCCCUGGUCCAGGUGGCACCUUCCUGGCACCUUGAAGGUUGGGAAACAGCCGUGUCCUUCCUUUUUCCUAAAUGAAUUUUUCUCCCCAGGAGCCAGAGCAGUAGGUGAGUGCCCCUGCGUGCAAAGCACAGCGAAGGAGGGAUGAAGCAGCAGUCUGGGAGGAAAAAGGGGGAUUUUAUUGAGAAUGGGCCAUGCUGGAGGAGGCAACCCCCAGCCCUGGGCAAGCUGGGGGCAGAGGGCUGGCCAGGCUGACCUGGGCAGCUGUGACCAAGAAGGUCAUUAGGAAGGUGAUUUGGGGGAAAUUCUUUGGUGUGAGGGUGGUGAGAGCCUGGCCCAGGUUGCCCUGAGAAGCUGUGGCUGCCCCAUCCCUGGAGGGGUUCAAGGGCAGGUUGGAGGGGGCUUGGAGCAACCUGGUCUGGUG
rnacentral:lncRNA from 1 species